GCUGAUGCCUCCCUCCCUCCCUCCCUCUCUCUCCCUCUCUCUCUCCCUGCCCCUCUCUCUCUCCCCCCCCCCUCAUUCUUUAUUAUGACUAGAUGACCCGUUGCGCCGAUGGCGCAAGAAGACAAUUAGAACCGGGUAUUAUGUGGGUAUUGUAGUGCACAAGUUAGCACCUUUAAUCAAUUGAAACAGAAAGAAAGAAAGUUUGUUUGAGGUGGUAGAUCCAUAAAAUCCAUUUAGCAAAUAUUAUGUCCAAACAGUUAACUGCAGAAAACGGAACCUUAUCAUCCGAAGGGGGCAUUCAUAUUUUAGUACCAAUAUAGGUUCAUAACUUGUACAUAUCAGACUAUAGAGGGGGCAACCCAACUCGUUAUAUUUAAAUUAUCAACUCAAAGUAAUUCAUAAUAAAAUUUCAUGAAUCAUCAUUGGCUCAAAAAAUUUCCAACAUGCCUUCCACUAACUCGUGCCUUCUUUAAGCUGAACCAGCAUAAAAAGUAGAGCCGAGGAAGAUUAGAGACAUGACUAUUGUUAGGUGACCAAAAUGAAAGACCUAGUAAAACACAUGGUAUGAGAAAUCUCAUCCCAGCAAACACAACAUAACUAUAUAGACACUAAGAAAAAAAAGAGGUAAAACAACACCAAGAGUAGAUUGAAAGAAUUUGUAGCAUCUACUAGGACCGCAAUGAAUUAAAUUAAAAUAUAGCACUGUAACUAAUAAGUACCAUCAAGUUUCCAAAAGGAUGUCUUUUACCCAAAGAUUAUCGUCAAAUUAAAUUAAAAUUACAGCACCUUAUUCAAUUCUAAUUCAAGCACCAUGAACAGUAUCAUCCAUGGAGUUCAUUUCUAAACUCAACACUUAUUCAUCAAGAACUUCUAACUUCAGGACGUGCAUUUAGUUUUUUUUUUCCAGAGGUGUAUAAGCAUAUUAUCUUGUUAACUCAGCAAGUAGAUAUAUAAGCUAACAGUUAGUGUUCUCAAAAAAUUUAAAUAGUUUUCUUACUGGACUAUGUAAGCCUAUUCAACUAACCAUACGUCUCUAUAAAACAAUUACUCAAAAUAUAUGAUGGUUUCCUAGCUGACACGAUCAACGAGUUGUUGAUACGUGCAUAUGCAAAAACUAAGCAUUCACUCUUCUGCUGUGACAGAGAACCAUCGUACUCCAUGGAAUUUGCACGCAAAAAUCAUGUUAGGUUUCAAUGAAAGCACAUGGAAAAACCUCAGAGAAAGAGAGAGAGAGAGAGANNNNNNNNNNNNNNNNNNNNNNNNNNNNNNNNNNNNNNNNNNNNNNNNNNNNNNNNNNNNNNNNNNNNNNNNNNNNNNNNNNNNNNNNNNNNNNNNNNNNUGCGUCGCCUCCACCCCCUACGGCGCCUCGGGCACUAUGGUUGUGCUUACAAAACUACUGCACCCAAGGGGUAGAACUGCCUUCACAGUGCUCCCCCGUCUGCCUUCUUCCCACGCUUCUCUGCCAUCCUUGCGUGAACUCACCCUUAUCCCCUUCCAUUGCGGCCUGUGAGGAUGCCACGAGCGCUAAGGCACAGGUGGGGCCCUCGGCACCGCCAUCAUCUCCUGGGGGCAAGGAGGACGGGCCCCCAAGGCCAACCCUAGCGCGCGGGCGCUAGGUCACUAGCGAUGAGUAAGUGAGUCAUCAUUAUCACUUUCCCAUGCAUAUCCUGCCCGAUCUAAUGAAUCCAACCACCGAGCUUUUCAGGGUGCCCGCACCCAAGAGGCAUAGUGAUGCCCCGCCGGGGGCACUCUCUUGCGCGCCACCGGUCGGUGAGGCCUCCUUCUCCGCACUUGGCCUAGUAGGGCCCGGGGGGUCCGCGGUCAAGUCUGGGGCAACAACACAGCCCUGGGAGCGCGCGGCCGAGGAUGCCGCGUUUGCCCUUCGGAGCCCUGGGCACGGGGCGGUCCUGACCCUCACGGAGACCACCGUCAUCAAGCGGGAGGCGAUCAUGGCCCUCAACGAGUGGGAGGCUGAUACGUCAUAAAUGUAUCUAUAAUUUCUGCUUGUUCCAUUAUUUUUUGGUGACAUUGUUAUAUGUUUUGCUACACUUUUAUAUCAUUUUACACAUACUUGGACUAACCUACUAAUUCAGUGCACCCAGUGCCAGUUUCUGUCUGCUGAUUUCUAUUUUGUAGGGGCUUUUACCCAAUUUUCUGAAGCCCAAAAAAUCCCGAGAAAAAUAUAUAAAAAUCAGCGUACCAGAAGCUUCCAGAUCACCGAAGAUGGGCCAGAGGGAGGCCGGGGGCCGCCCAGGCAACCUGUGGGCGCGGCCUACCCCCUGGCCAUGCCAAGAGGCCGCCUGGGUAGGUCCCACGCCCUUCGGUGGCCAACUUUCGCCUAUAUUUACCACUUGACGAGGAAAACCCUACAAGGGAUCCAGAAUCAUGAAUUUCUCCAUUGUUUCGCCGCCGCAGUGCUUCCGAGAUCGGGAGCGUAAGGAGACCUCUUCCCGGCACCCUGCCGGAGGGAGGAUUGACCUCCGGGAGCUACUCCACCACCAUGGAUGCUUCCCGGACCUGCAGUGAGUAGUCCUCCUUGGACCAUGGGUCCAUGACCAGUAGCUAUGUGACGUCUUCUCUCCAAUCUUGUGCUUCAAUGGUUAGUCCUUGUGAGAUGCCCUACAUGAUCAAGGCAUCUAUGUAGUUAUCUUGCUAUUGCUAUGCUCGGUUUGUUGGGAUCCGAUGGAUUAUGAGAUUAUGUUCAGAUUGUUAUGAGUUAUAUAUUUGAUUAUCCUUUUAUGUUAUGUUCCUUAGUGAUUCAUGCAUGUUCUCCGUUGCUAUUUAUUGCUUUGGUCGAGUAGUAGAUUGUAACUCCAAGAGGGAGCGUUAUGCAUGAUUGUGGGUUCAUGCCCCUCGAUGUCUAGCUUGAGUGACAGAAACAUGAGACUAGGGGAUGUGUUGUUGCCACCAGGGAGAAAACAACGAUGCUUGUGACCAUGGUUGCAAGGAUUGUUUACCUUACGCAUAGUUCGUUAAUGCAGUUGUCCAUUGCUUUGAGUUUACNNNNNNNNNNNNNNNNNNNNNNNNNNNNNNNNNNNNNNNNNNNNNNNNNNNNNNNNNNNNNNNNNNNNNNNNNNNNNNNNNNNNNNNNNNNNNNNNNNNNUUUGUGUGUGUCAAACGUCACAACGUAACUGGGUGACUAUAAAGAUGCUCUACAGGUAUCUCCGAAGGUGUUAGUUGAGUUAGUAUGGAUCAAGACUGGGAUUUGUCACUCCGUGUGAACGGAGAGGUAUCUCGGGGCCCACUCGGUAAUACAACAUCACACACAAGCCUUGCAAGCAAUGUAACUUAGUGUAAGUUGCGGGAUCUUGUAUUACGGAACGAGUAAAGAGACUUGCCGGUAAACGAGAUUGAAAUAGAUAUACGGAUACUAACGAUCGAAUCUCGGGCAAGUAACAUACCGAAGGACAAAGGGAAUGACAUACGGGAUUAUAUGAAUCCUUGGCACUGAGGUUCAAACGAUAAGAUCUUCAUAGAAUAUGUAGGAUCCAAUAUGGGCAUCCAGGUCCCGCUAUUGGAUAUUGACCGAGGAGUCUCUCGGGUCAUGUCUACAUAGUUCUCGAACCCGCAGGGUCUGCACACUUAAGGUUCGACGUUGUUUUAUGCGUAUUAGAGUUAUAUGGUUGGUUACCGAAUGUUGUUCGGAGUCCCGGAUGAGAUCACGGACGUCACGAGGGUUUCCGAAAUGGUCCGGAAACGAAGAUUGAUAUAUAGGAUGACCUCAUUUGAUUACCGGAAGGUUUUCGGAGUUACCGGGAAUGUACCGGGAAUGACGAAUGGGUUCCGGGAGUUCACCGGGGGGGGGCAACCCACCCCGGGGAAGCCCAUAGGCCUUGAGGGUGGCACACCAGCCCUUAGUGGGCUGGUGGAACAGCCCAAAAGGGCUCUAUGUGCCAAGGAGAGAAAAUCAAGAGAGAAAAAAAAAGGAGGAGGUGGGAAGGAAGGGGGACUCCCUCCCAGCAAACCAAGUCCAACUCGGUUUGGGGGGGAGUCCUCCCCCCUUGGACUCGGCCGACCCCCUUGGCAAGGUCCCCUCCCCCCCACCUAUAUAUACGGAGGUUUUAGGGCUGAUUUGAGACGACUUUCCCACGGCAGCCCGACCACAUACCUCCACGGUUUUUCCUCUAGAUCGCGUUUCUGCGGAGCUCGGGCAGAGCCCUGCUGAGACAAGGUCAUCACCAACCUCCGGAGCGCCGUCACGCUGCCGGAGAACUCUUCUACCUCUCCGUCUCUCUUGCUGGAUCAAGAAGGCCGAGAUCAUCGUCGAGCUGUACGUGUGCUGAACGCGGAGGUGACGUCCGUUCGGUACUAGAUCGUGGGACUGAUCGCGGGAUUGUUCGCGGGGCGGAUCGAGGGACGUGAGGACGUUCCACUACAUAAACCGUGUUCACUAACGCUUCUGCUGUACGAUCUACAAGGGUACGUAGAUCACUCAUCCCCUCUCGUAGAUGGACAUCACCAUGAUAGAUCUUCGUGCGCGUAGGAAAUUUUUUGUUUCCCUUGCGACGUUCCCCAACAGAGCCCACCGCGAUGGUCUCGAUAUGGACCAUCCGAGUGGAAGCAGGACCAUCAUCUCUGGUCCCGAGUGUUUCAGUCGAGCCAUCCGUUCGGCUGACAUCCCUCCCAACUUCCGAUUGGCGACGGGGAUCAACAAGUUUACAGGAGAAUCCAAGCCAGAAACGUGGCUGGACGACUACCGAGUGGCAGUCCAGAUCGGAGGAGGGGACAACCACGUCGCCAUGAAGCACCUCCCUCUGAUGCUCGACGGCUCGGCACGAGCGUGGCUGAACCAGUUGGCUCCCUCAAGCAUCUAUAGCUGGGCAGAUCUGGCCCGAGUCUUCGUCAGGACCUUCGAAGGGACGUGCAAACGCCCUGCUGGCCUCGUGGAGCUCCAGCACUGUGUCCAGAAGCAGAAUGAGCCCCUGCAUGAUUUCAUUCAGCGCUGGACGACCCUCUACGACACGGUGGAGAACGUCACAGAGCAUCAAGCAGUCUGCACCUUCAAGGCAGGCGUGCGGUACAAAGAUUUGUACCUGAAGUUCGGUCAAACAAGCGACAUCUCCAUGAGCAAGAUGAUGGAGAUAGCGGCACGCUAUGCAAAUGGCGAAGAGGAGGACCGCAUCCGUAGCGGCAAGCACAAAGCAGUCGCCGAUGGAGAUGGGAACAACACUCGGAAGCAGAAGCAAAAAAGCUCCGUCCACUCCGCGGGCAGAGGCCGCAGCUGUUACCAAUGCCAAGUUCAAGGGCAAGGGGAAGGCUCAGUUCAUCCCCAAGAAGAAGCAGUUCAGUAACCCCAUCCUGGACCAGCCAUGUCCAAUUCACACGAAGCUGGAUGAAGAGGGCAACGCCAUAUAUCCAAAGCAUACCACUCGGCAGUGUCGCCUCCUGAUCCAGGGGUUCGGCGAAGGGCAACCGAGUGAAAAGGGAAAUGAACAGGAUGAGGAGGACAAGGAGGAUCCGUUCCCCCAAGUCCAUGCAACACUGAUGAUUUUUGCUGACAUUGAGAGCAAGAGUCGACUGAAGCUGGUGAACAGGGAGGUGAACAUGGCCACGCCGACCAACCCACAUUCCUCGAAUGGUCUCAGACUGCGAUCACCUUUGACCAGUCGGAUCAUCCAGCAGACGUACCCACCCCAGGGAGGCAGGCUCUGGUUGUCGACCCGGUGGUGGAAGGAGUCCGUCCGACUGCGCAAAGUCCUCAUGGACGGCGGCAGUGGUUUGAACAUCAUGCACGCUAACACUCUCAAGGGGAUGGGCGUUCCGAUGUCCAAACUUAGCGAGAGCAGCAUGCAGUUCCUUGGAGUCGUCCCUGGACGAAAGGCCAAGUCACUCGGCCAGAUCGCGUUGGACGUCAUCUUCGGCUCCGACAAGAACUUCCGCAAGGAAAAGUUGACGUUCAAGGUGGUGGACUUCCAGAGUGCAUACCACGCUAUUCUGGGCCGCCCGGCGUAUGCGCGUUUCAUGGCCCGUCCAUGUUACGUGUACUUGAAGGUGAAGAUGCCAGGCCCGAAAGGUGUGAUCACUAUCACAGGCAAUCGACAGCGGGCCGAGGAGUGUCUGCAGUAGGGAUCAAGGAUCGCUGAUCAGCACAUGGCUGUCCUCGAGCUUGACGAGUACAAGAAAACAGUCGACCCUGCUGCUUGAUGCGUUCGAAGAAGCCAGCUUCGGAGUCCGCAUUCCAGUCGGCGGGAGAGACGAAGAAGGUCAGCAUCCACCCGACGGACGACACCGCUGCCCCGACGAACAUCUCCACCACCCUCGAUCCUAAAUAGGAAGCUGAGCUCAUCCAAUUCCUCCGUGAGAACUGGGACAUCUUCGCAUGGAAGCCCUCUGACAUGCCAGGUGUACCCAGGGAGUUGGCUGAGCACCGAUUGCAUGUGGAUCCCGCCGCUCGGCCUGUCCGAGAACGCCUGCGUCGGUCCGCCGCGCACAAGAGGAAGGCAAUCAGAGAAGAGGUGGCCAAGCUUUUGGCAGCCGACUUCAUUCGUGAGGUACACCACUCCGAGUGGCUCGCCAAUGUUGUCAUGGUGCCCAAGAAGGACAAGUCGCUCCGAAUGUGCAUCGACUUCAAGCAUCUCAAUAAGGUCUGCCCGAAAGACCAUUUUCCGCUCCCCCGCAUCGAUCAAAUUGUCGAUUCGACUGCGGGUUGCGAGCAUUUGUCAUUUCUUGAUGCCUACUCGGGCUAUCAUCAGAUCCGUCUGUAUGGCCCCGAUGAACUAAAAACAGCCUUCAUCACCCCAUUCGGGUGCUUCUGCUACAUCACUAUGCCAUUUGGUUGAAGAAUGCAGGAGCAACAUUUAUGCGCAUGAUCCAAAAAUGCCUCCUCGACCAGAUCGGUCGGAAUGUGGAGGCGUAUAUGGAUGAUAUCGUAGUCAAGUCACGCAAAGGUUCCGACCUGCUGACUGACUUGGGAGAAACAUUCGCCAACCUUCGUAGGUACGAUAUCAAGCUCAACCCAGCCAAGUGUUCAUUCGGCGUUCCCAGCGAAAAGUUACUCGGUUUCUUCGUUUCCGAACGAGGGAUCGAUGUCAACCCCGAAAAUAUCGGGACCAUCGUCCGAAUGGAGCGGUCGGUCAGAAUACACGAUGUUCAAAGGCUCACAGGUUGCCUAGCGGCUUUGAGCAGGUUUAUCAGUCAACUCGGCGAGAAGGCGCUUCCUCCGUACCGACUCAUGAAGAAAUCAGAUACUUUCGCGUGGACAGACGAAGGCCAAGUCGCAUUCGACGACCUCAAAGUCCUACUUUCCACCCAGCCGGUUCUUACUGCUCCGCUCAAAGUCGUCAGCACUGUCCUCACAGUCGAACAGGAAGAAGAAGGCAAAGCAUACAAGGUUCAGCGACCCUUGUAUUAUGUCUCCGAAGUCCUGACUCCUUCCAAGCAGAGGUAUCCCCACUAUCAAAAACUUAUCUACGGGAUUUACAUGACUGCGAAGAAGGUGGCCCAUUAUUUCUAAGAUCACUCGGUGUCUGUCAUUUCUGAUGCUCCGUUGUCGGAAUUCCUCCACAAUCGGGAUGCAUCGGGCCGAGUGGCGAAGUGGGCAAUGGAGAUGUUGUACUGCGACAUCAAGUUCGAGGCCAAGAAAGCUAUAAAGUCUCAAGCUCUAGCUAACUUCAUAGCAGGAUGGGUAGAACAACAGCAACCGACUCACAUCUACUCGGCUCAUUGGACAAUGUUCUUCGAUGGGUCUAAGAUGUUGAAUGGCUCCGGCGCUGGCGUUGUGAUCAUAUCGCCAAAGGGUGACAAACUCAAGUAUGUGUUGCAGAUACACUUUGAUUCCUCCAACAAUGAGGCAGAGUAUGAAGCUCUCCUUUAUGGACUGCGCAUGGCCAUCGCACUCGGCGUCCGUCGCCUCAUGGUCUAUGGCGAUUCGGAUUUGGUAGUUAAUCAGGUGAUGAAGGAGUGGGACGUCAGGAACCCCACCAUGACCACAUACUGCAAUGCAGUGAGGAAGUUCGAGAAAAAGUUUGAAGGCCUAGAACUCCACCAUGUUCCGCGACUGAAGAACCAAGCAGCAGAUGAGUUGGCAAAACUCGGAUCCACUCGGAGACCAGUCCCGAGUGACGUCUGCCUCGAGCACCUCCACCUUCCCUCAGUUAAAGAAGAUCCUUUCACAGAGGAACCAGUACAACCAAAGAGCUUGACAGAUCCAACUGAAGUCGACGUACCUGUUGUGGUUGAUUUGAUCAUGGAGAUUCUUGUUGUCAUCCCCGAUUGGACUGUGCCGAUCAUUGCAUACAUCCUGAGGCAAGAACUACCAGAAGACGAAGUCCAAGCCAGACAGAUCAUCUGCAGGUCAAAGUCGUUCACUGUCAUUGAUGGCCAGUUGUACAAAGAAAGCGUUUCAGGCGUCCUUCAACGAUGCAUCUCCCCUGAGGAGGGACAGUUAAUCCUGGAAGAAAUUCACUCGGGAACCUGCGGUCAUCAUGCCUCUUCAAGAGCAAUCGUCACCAAAGCAUUCAGAGCUGGUUUCUUCUGGUUGCAGGCGAAUGAAAUGGCGAAAGAUAUGGUCGACCGAUGUGAAGGCUGUCAGUUUUACUCUAACAAGUCCCACAAGCCAACAUCUGCGUUGAAGACAAUCCCUCUUGUUUGGCCGUUUGCGGUAUGGGGAUCAGAUACAGUCGCUCCAUUCAGGACAUGCCAAGGGGGAUUCACACAUCUGUUGGUAGCAGUCGACAAGUUCACAAACUGGAUUGAAGCCAAGCACAUCAAGAAGCUCGACGCCCUUACGGCCAUCAAGUUUGUCAGGGACAUCAUAUCCAGAUUCGGGGUACCUCACAGCAUAAUCACUGACAACAGAACAAACUUUGACUCGGACAGAUUCAAAGGUUUUUGUACAGGCCAAGGUAUCUGAGUGGAUUUUGCAUCUGUGGCGCAUCCCCAAACAAACGGGCAAGCAGAGCGGGCGAAUGGACUUAUUCUGCAAGGUUUGAAGCCUCGACUACUGCGAGAGGCGGGACAUGCCACUGGCGCAUGGGUCACCGAGCUACCUUCGGUGCUUUGCGGUCUCCGCACAACCCCAAAUAGAUCUACAGGGCAAUCCCUGUUCUUCCUCGUUUACGGAGUAGAGGCAGUCCUUCCGAGUGACUUGCUUCACAACGCUCCACGAGUUGAACUCUUCUCCGAAGCUGAAGCAGAACAAGCAAGACAAGACGGAGUGGAUCUUCUAGAAGAGGAGCGCGAGAUGGCACUGACUCGCUCAACCAUUUAUCAACAAGAUCUGCGGCGCUUUCACGCGCGACACGUCAGGAGUCGUACAUUCCAAGCAGGCGACCUGGUGCUCCGAGUGGAUCAGCAGAGACCUCACAAGUUGGCUCCCGCCUAGGAAGGACCCUUCAUCAUCUCCAAGGUGCUGAACAACGGAGCAUACCAACUCUACAACAUCGACAGGGAAACGGACGAGCCGCAAACAUGGAACGGAGAUCUCUUGAAGCGCUUCUACACGUGACCGUCGACUGAAGCAAUGUAAAGAACAAGUAUUGUUGAAGUAAUACAAAGCAGAUUGAGUAUUUGCAGAUUCAAAAUUCUUCCGCGGUCGCAGACUCCGGUCUAAAAAAAAGCUUAGCUGCGAUCACGAAUCGCCUAAGUAUUAACUUUCUCCGAGUGUGCACUAAACGUCGCACUACGGGAACUUAGCUGUGAUCACGAAUCGCCUAAGUAUUAACUUUCUCCGAGUGUGCACUAAACGUCGCACUCGGGGACUUAGCUGCGAUCCAGAAUCGCCUAAGUAUUAACUUUCUCCGAGUGUGCACUWAACGUCACACUCGGGGACUUAGCUGCGAUCAAGAAUCGCCUAAGUACAAWUUUCUCCGAGUGUGCACUAACCGUCGCACUCGGGGACUUAGCUGCGAUCACGAAUCGCCUAACUACACACUUUCUCCGAGUGUGCACUUAACGUCGCACUCGGGGACUUGUCUGCGAUCAAGACUCGCUUAAAUAGAAAGCUUCCUUCGAGUGUAUCUCACAGAUCCACUCGGAGGCUCAGCCGACCCUCACUGAGGCUCAUGCAGAUGUCAAGACAACUCACAAUUACAUGAGUNNNNNNNNNNNNNNNNNNNNNNNNNNNNNNNNNNNNNNNNNNNNNNNNNNNNNNNNNNNNNNNNNNNNNNNNNNNNNNNNNNNNNNNNNNNNNNNNNNNNACCGAAGGGAAAAGCUUGGAACAGAGGUUUCUGACUCCUCGAUUCAUCCAUCUCAUAGUUAUCGAUAGAAAUCCGUCAAUGAGGUUGAUCAAGUCUCCUUGACAAACUUUUCGAAUCAUAAAAGAAGACGGAGAAUUUUUUUCAAAUAGUCACUAGGUUACCUCAAUGGGGAUGUGUAUCUCCCCAACAAGCAAAUCAUACUUCAUCUUGACAGGAGGUAUAGGACAUUCAAAGCUCCCAAUAAGAAUCGAUGAAGUUUUUUAGAUAGCAUUGAUGCAAUGUACUCGAUAUUGUUUCUUCGGAAAGUGCACCGUAUGCUCAUUAACGUUGACAUGGAAAGUGACAUUGCCUUUGUUGCAAUCUAUAACAACCCCUGCAGUGUUUAAAAAGGGUCUUCCGAGGAUGACCGCCAUGACAUCAUCCUCAGGAAUAUCCAAGAUAACAAAGUCUGUUAAGAUAGUGACGUUGGCAACCACAACAUGCACAACGUCGCAAAUGUCGAUAGGGAAAGCAGUUGAUUUGUCGGCCAUUUGCGGAGAGAUUUCACUGGGUGUCAACUUAUCUAUUUCAAGUCUACGAUAAAGAGAGAGAGUCAUAACACUAACACCGGCUCCAAGGUCACAUAAAGCAGUUCUAACGUAGUUGCCUUUAAUGGAGCAAGGUAUAGUGGGCACUCCGGGAUCACCUAGUUUCUUAGGAGUUCCACCCUUGAAGGUAUAAUUAGCGAGCAUGGUGGAAAUCUCAACCUCAGGUAUCCUCCUUUUAUUAGUAACAAUAUCCUUCAUGUACUUAGAAUAUGGAGACAUUUUGAGCAUAUCUGUCAAACGCAUUUGCAGAAAGAGAGGUCUAAUCAUUUCAACAAAUUGCUCAAAGUCCUCAUCAUCCUUUUUCUUGGAUGGUUUGGAAGGAAAGGACAUGGGUUUCUGAACCCAUGGUUCCCUUUCUUUACCAUGCUUCCUAGAAGUGAAGUCAUUCUUAUCGUAUCUCCUAUUCUUAGGUUGUGGGUUAUCAAGAUCAACAGGUUCAAUCUCCACAUCCUUAUCAUUGCUUGGUUGAGCAUCUUCAUGAACAUCACUAUUGAUAUUAUCAUUAGGCUCAUGUUCAUCACCAGAUUGUGUUUCAACAUCAGAGGCAGAGACAUCGUUUGGACUCUCAGGGGUAACAACAUCUGGGUUGCUAGCGUGCAGGUUCCUAUCAUCUUUCUUCUUCUUUCUAGGAUGACUAGGUGCAUCAGUGCUAACUCCUUGAGAAUCUUGUUCAAUUCUCUUAGGAUGACCCUCAGGAUACAAAGGUUCCUCGGUCAUUCUACCGCCUCUAGUGAUGACUCUGACAGAAUUGUCAUUCAACUCAUUGAGCAAGUCAUUGCAUAAUAGGCGUGGGCCGAAUCCCCUGUCCCCGGGAUCUGAAUCCCUUAGAUCCAGGGCGACCGCCCCACUCUCCACCGCCUCCCUCUUACUGGCCGCUGGGCCCCACCUGCCCGAGCCUCCCUCCCCCGUCGGCCAUCUUCCUUCUCCUUCCUAUUCUACUGCCCGAGACCGAGCAGCACCAGGACUCGGGAUUUCCAUGCCGAUCCUCCCUUCCCCUCCUUCCUUUCCUCUCCCUCCGCAGGCCUAUAAAUACCCCGAGCCUCGCCGCCCCCGUUCCCACCCUUUCCCCGUCGAGCCGCCGCCCCUAGCCCCUGCCACCGCUCGCCGGAGCAGCCUGAGCUGCUGUCACCUUCGGUCCCCUGGAGCGCCACCCCGUCAGCCGCCCCUCUCCCCCCGAGCGCCUCCCCGAGGAGGAGGACUGCCCCGCCGCCGCCGCCCCGACUCCUCCAACGCCCCGGAGCCCCCUCCCCCCUCGCCGGUGACGGCCCUCGCCGGAGCUACCCCCAGCCAGCACGGUAGCUUCAUCUCUCUUCCUCUGUUGUUUUCUUUUUUUGCUUUGUAGCCAUUAGAUCUCCACUCAACGUUGUAGAUUAUAUCAUAUAUAACUCUUCGGUUUAGAUUAGAAAAACCAACGGUUUUUAGUUUCAGUNNNNNNNNNNNNNNNNNNNNNNNNNNNNNNNNNNNNNNNNNNNNNNNNNNNNNNNNNNNNNNNNNNNNNNNNNNNNNNNNNNNNNNNNNNNNNNNNNNNNUGUUGUUGCUUGAUAACUGGAUCACGUCAUUAGGAGAAUCACGUGAUGGACUAGACCCAAACUAAUAGACGUAGCAUGUUGAUCGUGUCAUUUUGUUGCUACUGUUUUCUGCGUGUCAAGUAUUUAUUCCUAUGACCAUGAGAUCAUAUAACUCACUGACACCGGAGGAAUGCUUUGUGUGUGUCAAACGUCACAACGUAACUGGGUGACUAUAAAGAUGCUCUACAGGUAUCUCCGAAGGUGUUAGUUGAGUUAGUAUGGAUCAAGACUGGGAUUUGUCACUCCGUGUGAACGAAGAGGUAUCUCGGGGCCCACUCGGUAAUACAACAUCACACACAAGCCUUGCAAGCAAUGUAACUUAGUGUAAGUUGCGGGAUCUUGUAUUACUGAACGAGUAAAGAGACUUGCCGGUAAACGAGAUUGAAAUAGGUAUACGGAUACUAACGAUCGAAUCUCGGGCAAGUAACAUACCGAAGGACAAAGGGAAUGACAUACGGGAUUAUAUGAAUCCUUGGCACUGAGGUUCAAACGAUAAGAUCUUCGUAGAAUAUGUAGGAUCCAAUAUGGGCAUCCAGGUCCCGCUAUUGGAUAUUGACCGAGGAGUCUCUCGGGUCAUGUCUACAUAGUUCUCGAACCCGCAGUGUCUGCACACUUAAGGUUCGACGUUGUUUUAUGCGUAUUAGAGUUAUAUGGUUGGUUACCGAAUGUUGUUCGGAGUCCCGGAUGAGAUCAUGGACGUCACGAGGGUUUCCGGAAUGGUCCGGAAAUGGAGAUUGAUAUAUAGGAUGACCUCAUUUGAUUACCGGAAGGUUUUCGGAGUUACCGGGAAUGUACCGGGAAUGACGAAUGGGUUCCGGGAGUUCACCGGGGGGGGGGGGGCAACCCACCCCGGGGAAGCCCAUAGGCCUUGAGGGUGGCACACCAGCCCUUAGUGGGCUGGUGGGACAGCCCAAAAAGGGACUCUAUGCGCCUAGGAGAGAAAAUCAAGAGAGAAAAAAAAAGGAGGAGGUGGGAAGGAAGGGGGNNNNNNNNNNNNNNNNNNNNNNNNNNNNNNNNNNNNNNNNNNNNNNNNNNNNNNNNNNNNNNNNNNNNNNNNNNNNNNNNNNNNNNNNNNNNNNNNNNNNCACGAAUCGCCUAAGUACUCAAUUGCCUUUCGAGUGUAUCCUACAGAUCCACUCGGAGACUCAGCAGACCCUCAGUGAGGCUCAUGUAGAUGUCAAGACAAACUGACAAUUACAUGAGUAACAACUCGCUCCGAGUACGACCUUACAGUCACAACUACGAAGACUUAGCCGCGGUCACGAAUCGCCUAAGUACUCAAUUGCCUUCGAGUGUAUCCUACAAAUCCACUUGGAGACUCAGCAGACCCUUAGUGAGGCUCAUGCAUAAGUGAAGACAACUAAAAAUUACAUGCUCCGCAUGUUUGCCAUUGGCUUCACCAAGAAACGCCAAACAAAAACCACGAGCCAAAAUCGUGUCAACAACUCUUUGGCAAAAGUAGAGCAAAAGAUUCGAUUCCAAAUUCAAAGUUCGCCUAAAGAUAGCUGGUUCGGUGUAGAUCAAGCUUAAUCCACACCGAACCACGAAUGUGACGGCCAACAGCAGUGGCCCAAGUUUCAUACAGCUAACACUCGGCAUACCGAGGUAAAAGNNNNNNNNNNNNNNNNNNNNNNNNNNNNNNNNNNNNNNNNNNNNNNNNNNNNNNNNNNNNNNNNNNNNNNNNNNNNNNNNNNNNNNNNNNNNNNNNNNNNGCAUUCCUCCGGUGUCAGUGAGUUAUAUGAUCUCAUGGUCAUAGGAAUAAAUACUUGACACGCAGAAAACAGUAGCAACAAAAUGACACGAUCAACAUGCUACGUCUAUUAGUUUGGGUCUAGUCCAUCACGUGAUUCUCCUAAUGACGUGAUCCAGUUAUCAAGCAACAACACCUUGUUCAUAAUCAGAAGACACUGACUAUCUUUGAUCAACUGGCUAGCCAACUAGAGGCUUGCUAGGGACGGUGUUUUGUCUAUGUAUCCACACAUGUAAAUGAGUCUUCAUUCAAUACAAUUAUAGCAUGGAUAAUAAACGAUUAUCUUGAUACAGGAAUUAUAAUAAUAACUAUAUUUAUUAUUGCCUCUAGGGCAUAAUUCCAACAGGCUCGGCCCCUCUCGACCCUCCGUUGGGCGAUAUGCCCUCUCACGUCGGGCCUUGGAUUGUAAGUGUCACCGACUGAACGCCGAUCAUCAUGAUGUCGGGGCCCGUAGGGCCCACCCCGCAGAGGGGUGCGUGAAUGGCGACGAUCUUCGAGAUUUAUGGAACGGCUGCCUCCCGUGUGUCGCUGAUGAGAACCAGGGCUGUGAACUGACCGAUGCGUGUUCGCAUGAACAGAACUAUUCUGGAUCCUGUUGUGCGACUGGGAGACCGCAGAAUUUUGCUGCUACACCGUGUGCAGCAGGGCGCGGAUUUUCUCGAUCCCCCUGCCAGCCUCUGAAUCAGUCGGCUGAAGGGAAUCGGCUAUCUUGGCGGUGGCAGCCAGGUUGAGGACUGGUGUGCGGAACACCUCUACCUUGCUCCACCGAGUGUGCCGACUGGCAGAACGGCGGGGAUGACGGCGAGCGCCGGAUGUUUCGCCGACCUCGAGCUUGUUCUGGCCAGUUUGGCGGGGACUUUCAUGGGAGUUGGCCAUGUGCACUUCAUCCGCACGCCCGCGACCCAAGUACUCAGAACGAAACUCAGUCGGAACUGAGUCCGAGCGGUAGGACGGCGGUGCAACCACAACCGACUCUAGGACCGCCACUUGUGAGGACGCGUUCUGGCGCGCCUGGGCGUGUUGCACCCAACGCUGGAGCCGCGGACGGCGGGACCGCUUGUAGCGGCGCGCGACGGCGGCGUAGGUCGACACCUGAGCCGACUACUGGAGAAGAAGAAUACCGCGGGCGCCGGCAUGGAAGUGCGUAGCCCGACGACGGGGGAGCGCCUCGACGUCGAGAGGGGCAUCCCGAUGCCAUGCUGAAUCAUUGACGAUGAAGGAGAGAGCGCCGGAGAGGAUCUGGUGACCCAUGCUCAAAUCUCCACCGGAUGACAUGACGAAAAGAUGUAGUCACAAACUCGCCGGAAGUCGCUUAGACGCCUGCCCCACGGUGGGCGCCAACUGUCGUGGGUAUAAGUCUGACAGUAGAUGUGUAGGGUACGAAAGGAUGGGCAGAGCCUUAGCUACGGCGAGGUUGUAUGAGUUCAGGCCCCUCUACGGUGGAGGUAAUAGCCCUACGUCUCAGUGCUCUUGGGAGCUUGUUGUUGAGUGGAAUAUGGAUUACAGUGAAUUGCUAACCCCUGCACCAGUGGGGAAGGGUGGCUUAUAUAGAGUGCGCUGCCCUUCACAAUGGUUCGGUGCACAGGGGUGGAGUAGUGGCGAAUAAAUGCCUACGUUACAGGUAACGUAUGUCUUAAAUGCUAAUAAAGGCACAUGGAAACGUACGACCGUUUCCCUCCAGGGGGUUACGAUGCACAGAGUGGAAUCGUGUCAGUUAGUUUAUACACCCCGAAUGCUCAUCUCCGACUAGAUGAUGGAGGAUUCGUCACCGACUGGAUGAUGGGAAGUUCUUAAUUCAGUCGGAACUGACUAAGGGCCUUAUCUCUUAUGAAGGGUAGUCCUUGGGUAGGACUUAUAGGGCAGGCCUAUGACCCUACCCUAGGACUAUAACCCCAUCACUACUCAACACUACCAAAGAGAACCGUAGGAAACACCGUGCUCCAACAACACCGAGGGUUGACGAAUCAUCUUUUGCCCUAUGAUGUAUUAUCUGAAAUGCUCAAUGCACACGAUUAGUCCACAGAGGUGUUGUCAUCCAUUACCAAAACUACUUAGAACAAAAUAUGCCCUAACAGCUACAUGACGCGCUAGUAUCAUUGCAUAUCCUGCUACACUGGCAGAGGCAUACAUUUGCAUACAUCAUGAUGUUUUUCACUUGUCUUUAUGUUGAGUACUUCUUAUAAAGUGUGAUGACCUUCUUUUGAUUCAUGUAAAACUUAGAGUGUUGCCCUUAAGUGAUGAAAAGAUCCCAAAGAGGCCACAAAAAAAUGAAAUAAAAAGAAAUAAAAAGAGAGAAGGGGGAAACACUACUAUUCCUUUUCAAAGAUCCACACUCGUACUCCAUUGCUAUAUUUGUACUACAUAGAGAUUAUCAUUCAUGCAUAACUAUGUGGGGACCUUACACUAUAGAACUUGGUUUGCAUAUUACAAUAAUGAGCCUUCUCAAAUGAUCUCUAGGUCUUAAUGAGCAAACAAGUUGGAUGCACCCCCACUAGUUCCAUUGGAGGCUUACCUUAGCUCAUAUGUCCAUCCGUUACAUGGCAAUCCCUACUCCUCACAUCAUAUCUAUCAUUUGGCUUUCUCUCGCUUAUGAUUGUCCUCAUUGAUGUGAGCCUUUCACACGUUUUUUCUUCCUUCCCCAUCGUUAUUCUAUUUUCCAUCCUAAGUGCCAACGUAUCUUGCUUACGCUCAUCCAUUGCAUAAGUUCUCAAAGUCGAAAGGGAGAGGAUCAUUUUGACUUGUGCCUGACUAGUGGUCUGGGGAUGAGUCAAAAUAAGAUUCCGAAGGAGACCAAGUGUGAAGUUUAGUAGAUUGAGUUCUCAAUUAGAAAAUAUAUUUUAUGAUCUCAACCUAUCUCCCACUUCAUGCACGCAAACACCAUUUGGAGACAUUCGAGUCACGGACAACGAGACCUCUUGCACCUUUAUGUUCUUACUUUGCUAAUUUCAAUACUAGAUAUAAACUCUUGCUUAUUAUUGUCUUGAUUUGAAUUGCAUAUCUUACUAGCUUUAAUUUAAAGUUCUUAUAUAUGUGUUAGCAUGUCACCACAGAAAUUAUUAUGUUAUCAUUUAUCUACUCGAGGACGAGCUGAAAUUAAGCUUGGGGAUGUUGAUACGUCCCAAAACGUAUCUUUAAUUUCUGCUUGUUCCAUGAUCUUUUGGGUGACAUUGUUAUCUGUUUUGCUACACUUUUAUAUAAUUUUACACAUAUUUGGACUAACCUAAUAACUCAGUGCACCCAGUGCCAGUUUCUGUCUGCUGAUGUCUAUUUUGCAGGGGCUUUUGCCCAAUUUUCGAAAGCCCGAAAAAUCCAGAGAAAAAUAUAUAAAAAUCAGCGUACCGGAAGCUUGCAGAUCAUCGAAGAUGGGCCGGAGGGAGGCCAGGGGCCGCCCAGGCGACCUGUGGGCGCGACCUACCCCCUGGCCGCGCCAAGAGGCUGCCUGGGUGGGUCCCAGACCCUCUAGUGCCCUCCUUUCUCCUAUAUUUACCCCUUGACGAGGAAAACCCUACAGGGUAUCCAGAAUCACGAAUUUCUCCAUAGUUCCGCUACCGCAGCGCUUCCGAGAUCGGGAGCGUCAGGAGACCUCUUCCCGGCACCCUGUCGGAGGGAGCAUUGACCUCCGGGAGCUUCUCCACCUCCAUGGACGCUUCCCGGACCUGCCGUGAGUAGUCCUCCUUGGACCAUGGGUCCAUAACCAGUAGCUAUGUGAUGUCUUCUCUCCAAUCUUGUGCUUCAAUGGUUAGUCCUUGUGAGCUGCCCUACAUGAUCAAGGCAUCUAUGUAAUUCUCUUACUAUUGCUAUGCUCAGUUUGUUGGGAUCCGAUGGAUUAUGAUAUUAUGUUUAGAUUGUUAUGAGUUAUAUAUUUGAUUAUCCUUUUAUAUUAUGUUCCUUAGUGAUUCAUGCAUGUUCUUCGUUGCUAUUUAUUGCUUUGGUCGUGUAGUAGAUUGUAACUCCAAGACGGAGCGUUAUGCAUGAUUGUGGGUUCAUGCCCCUCGAUGUCUAGCUUGAGUGACAGAAACAUGAGACUAGGGGAUGUGUUGUUGCCACCAGGGAGAAAACAACGAUGCUUGUGACCACGGCUGUAAGGAUUGUUUACCUUAAGCAUAGUUCAUUAAUGUAGUUUUCCGUUGCUUUGAGUUUACACUUUGGGUGAGGCUCGCAACUUAAUACCGAAGAGAUGUUCUGGAUAGAUAUCUCAAGGUGGAUGAUUAGUAAGUUGAUGCUGAUGAAUAAACAGUCUACUUGUCUUGGCGUACUGCCCAUUACUAUUGAACCUCUAACUAUCAAGUAGCAUAAUUAGCAUUGCGGUGCGUUCAUAAUUUUGUCAAUUGCCCAACUGUAAUUUGUUUACCCAAGCAUAGUUGUUUAUCGUCUUUUGGGAGAGAGACAUCACUAGUGAACAUCAUGUGACUCCAGUCCAUAUCACCAUCAUCGUUUACACCGCCAUUAUUUACUGUUUGCAUUUACUUUUCCGUUGUAAUCACUAUUACUUUUCCCGCUUGUGUUUUGAUCCUUUGCAAACUACAAGGCCGGAGAGAUUGACAACCUCUCUGUACUCGUUGGGAGCAAAGUUAUUUGUUAUGUGUGCAUGUCCACGUCUUCUGCUAGCGCCAGGGUGGGAGAUACCUACUUGUUGAACCUAUGAGUUCUCCUGGUUCGAUAAACCUUAUAGUCUUCGUGUGAGGGAAACUUGUUGCUGACUACAUCUCAACCUUCCACUUGGGGUAACCAACGAGGUGCGAGAAGUAGAUACAUCAUAUCGUCAUCAGAGGCCACCCGAAACGCCCACAACCAAGAGGCGGAGCACGAAUACCUCGAGGACCUGGAUGGGCGCAUCCUCACCGGCAAGGUUGCCUUUGUUGUGGCGCGCGAGGAGGCCCUUGCUGAUGCAGACGUGAAGGUAGCUCGAGAGCAGGCGGCUGCCCUGGAGGAGUACCCCGACGAGUUCGCCCGAUAGGAGGCCUUUCUCCAGCUCAAGUACAACCUGCUGUAAGAGGAGGUGAUCAUGCUCCGGGCCCAUCUGUAGGGUGCUCAAGCUGCCAUGGAGGUCGCCUUCAGGAGUGAGGGGGAGGCCAAGGAGGAGCUAAAGUCGCUCCAGGCCUAGGUUGGUGAAGCCGUCGACGCCUCGCAGGCGGCCAAUGAUGACACGGUGCACGCCGUCACAUGGCAGCGCACGUGCGACGUUUGGAGGCGCAGUUCACCCAGAAGUUCCUCGAACUGGCCCUCCAUGCAGGCCAUGCGCUCUGUCGUUUCGUUAGGGAUGGCCCCGUGCUGUCGCGUGCUCACGGCAAUGGAGGUGACCCGGACUUCCUCCUCAAGGUGGUGGAGGCGCUAGAGUCGGGCGCCUCCAAGGUGGAGGAAUGCAUCGAGUCCGGCGCACGCGACCUCCUUGGCAACGCGCUGACGCGUGUUUUCUCCAACCUGCACCGCCACAAUCCCACGUUCGACCUCUCCCGCAUGAUGGAGCCGGUGCAUGCGGUGCGCAGGUACGUGGCGUCUCUGGUCAGGCGGUUCGCCCAGAUGGUGCCUUCCGAGGAGGGCGGCAACCUCGACAUCGUAGCUCUCGAGGCCACGGCGAGGAGGGUGCCUCCUCUGCUUAAGCUUCCCCAACCUUUUCCUAUUGCACCAAAGAACCCUCGGCCCCGGGGGGCGUCAAACAUUUUUGACUUACUUUUUCCUUGAGUAAUGGUUGCCUGUUAUGCUUGGGGGCAUCUUCAUUUCUUCUACGAGGUCUUCCGUUUUUCUCUAUGUGUUUCUUGUGCUUUGGCUGACCAGGGCUCACAACACACAGUUCCGGAGGCCCUAUUCUCGAUGUGCGUCUAGGCCGCGGGCCGGCAGCCCCCGAGCACUGCUAGCUUCGAAUUCCCUUGGCCAUGGUACCCUGUGAAGCCCCCGAGGGCAGCCCCUCGAGACAACCCCGUGGACGCGUCGCGAAGCUGCCGACAAUGGUUGUUCGUGCGGGCCUCACGGGGUUGAUACCUUCGCGAUGGCUCCACCCUAGCCUCCUGACGGUGGUGCUUCGGGAACUCGGCCUCCCCUUUUCGCGUUGCCUUCUUUUUCCUAAAAUGCAACAUGCUGGCUCCAUGGGGGCGCAUGAAAGGGGUUAUGUCCUCUGCUCCACAAACUGAUUUGAAUGUUAUUUUGGGUCGAAACUAAGCUUCCCCUUAGCACUUCCCUACCGAGCUUGCACCCCCUCCACGGUCGCUCAGUUGCCUCGUGGUGUUAGAGCCCAUCCCCCGAGCAUGGAUGUGUGGUCUUCCGAGGAACGAUGCUCAAGAGCUCGCCUUCUUUGCGUAGCGGCUCAUGCGAGCAGUUGCUUCUUGCGGGGCUCGCCACGCGAGGUCCUUGUGGGAAGUCCUACAUAGAAAACACCUUUUUCAACAGCACAUGCUAGACCGCUUACAUUUGGUCGUCCCCGUUUGCAUUUGGGCAUGGUAGGAGGGCAGAAAAACAAGAAAGCUCCAAAAAACCAGAAAACCGAGACCGUCCCGACAAAACCCAAAGCUAAUUGUUUGCGAGCCCAAAAAGGAGAGGUGCGGCUACUGUACCCAAGAGGGCUAGCCCAGUGAGCUCGUUCGCAAGUCAAAGACAGGAAAGAAUAUAAGCAGCCAUGAUGCCCACCACGGGUCAACCUAGAAAGAAAUGUGGUUGUCAUAUCCAAAACGGGUCAACAUAAAAGAAGUGUUCGACACUCAUUCCGCCAGCGCUGAGCAUUGGGACUUCCCCUUGGGCGUGGGGGAGCCCUCCACCGAGGCCACGACGCGGCUCGUCGUGGGCUUCCACUUAGGAGGCUCUCGGCAUAUACGACCCACUCAAUAUUACGUGAGAAUGUCACGGGUAGGCUUCUUGGAGUUCGACUUCGAGGUCCCACCCUCUGUAUUUAGGCGAGUGACGCGGGGACGGGAGACAUGGGCGAUGUUGUGGGGGCCCCCACCCUCCAUCCCCACGCGCGCGGUGUCUGGACUCGGGAUAUGGGCGAUUCUGAAGGCCCCCCUCCCUCCAUCUCCAUGCACACGCUGUCAAGCCUAGAGACAUGGGCGCUUCAAAAGGGGUUCUCCCCCAGAGGGUUCGCCUCUCGCGCUUCCUCAAGCAUCGGCGAGGAAACGUGUACGUUGGUGCAGUGCUCCUGUGGCCCAAGCAUGAGAACCAUAACGCCCCAUAUGGCUUGAAGGGUCUGGUUGCACGUCGGCGACUUGACACUAAAGCUUAGGAUUAGGGAAAAUGACAGCAUCUCAUUUGAAGGUUAAUCAAGUUCAUUACUUAUUCAGGAAACAUCCGCUUGGGCAGAUAUUAAAUACUAGGAAUUUCUUGAUCCAAACAAUCCAAAAAGUUACGUGAUGGCCCAACCAUCGCGGGAGUGUCAGGCCGCCUGUUGUUACGUACCGCGGGGGUCCACCCUGCUCGCGGGGGACAGCUGAGUCCUGAGGCUAUUUGCUCUUGAAGCUUCACAAGUGCGCAGGGUCCCGAUACCUCAUGAGGUGCGCAUGGCCUACACUCCUUGCAACUUGUCAAUCUCCCAAACGGAGAACCCCCAUGUAUGAGAACCCAAAAGAUGUUGCUAGAGAAGAUGAGAUCCUAGCUAAUGCCCCUCCUCCUCCUCCUCCUCCUCAUAAGCUCAUAGCUAAUGCUAUGCACAAGAAAUCUGUUCAAAAUCCUGCUUCUAAAGCUAAAAGGUUGUAGCUCCCAAAAGGACUACAAAGGUCAUUCCUGCAGCUGUCAAGAACAAAGGUCCUGCUUUGAGUACCUUUGCUGCAGAGGAAGAAGAAUAGAAUGCACCUAUUCUCACAAAGAUUAGGCCCAAUCUGCCACUGCACAAUGUUGCUCGUCCAGUAGCUGAAGAUAUGAAGAAGAGGAAAUACGCAGGUUUAAGGAAAUGGAGAGUUGCAAAUCCAUAUGCCAUAAGGAGAAGAACUGUUGUUGAUCCAAGGUUUGACACCAAGACUUUUAUGAGACUGUUUUGUAUGACAAAAGUCCAGCUAUUAGUGACAUGAGAUAUGUCGACUGGGCUUACAUCAAAGCCAAUGAAAAAUUCUUUCCCCACGUGCAAGAUAAUUUCAAGUCAGUGGACAUUAAAGAUUUUAUUGGAAAAGAGAUUACUCCAUGGAAUGAAUAACUGAUCACGCAAUUCUAUUCAACUGUUCAUUUCUAUGGUGAUGGCUCUAUUGUCUGGAUGACUGAUGGUCACAAGUAUGAAUCAACUGUUGAUGAGUGGGCCACUAUCAUUGGUGCCCCUAAGCAGAAAGAGAGUGAUGUUGAUGUAUACUCUGAGCAGAAAAUGAGUCACAACUCCAUGUCCAAUAUGUACAAGCCAUUUCCUCGCAAGUUUAUGGCAACCCACAAGUUUGGCUGAGUGUACUUCUUGCAAGUAGGGAUACCUACAACCAAUACCAUUCUGAUACACACCUUAAUGCCUAAAUCACGUGAUGAGAAAAUGAUUAGAGGUCACUCCAUCAACUUUCUACACCAUUUGGACACUGAUACUAGAUUCAGAGUGAUGGACUUGAUAGUAGAUACUAACAGAAGGACUACUACUGAUCAGAAAAGAUCUUGUGGAUAUGCCCCAUAGAUUUAGAUACUUAUCAAUGCCAAGCUAGGGAAGCAUGCAUAUCUCCUCGAUCAUCCCCAUUUACCUCUUCAACUACAAGUUGAAGACAAUGAAGUGGUGAUGGAUGACAAUGAUCCCAGCUUAGCUGUAGCCAGAAUGGCAGCAGAAGCUGAGCGUGCUAGAUAUGUGCCCCCACCAGUUCCAUAGCUCAGCACUCAAGCUGAGCAAAUGGAUUUUCUAGUCAGCUCUAUCAAAGGUAUGGAGUAGAACAUCUCGGAGAUUCUGCAAAAUCACAAGAGUGUGUGCAGAGGAUCAUGGAAACAAAGUUCCAUGAUUUGAAUGUUAAAGUGACUGAGAUAUCUGCUAGUGUUGAUGAGCUCAAGCAUGAAGUUGGCGAUGUUAAAACACCCAGUUCUACUAGUGAUGAUGAAGAGUCACCUCCUCGCACUACCACUCAGUUCAGCACCAAGCCCCGGUCAGCAGUUGUGCCAGUGUUGGAAGCAAUACCAACUUCAUCAGUUGAGGCAUCUGCACCUUUAGCUUCAGCCCCAGCUACAGGUCCUCUAGUAUCCCAUCCUCCAGCUCCAGGACAUUCAGCAGAAGUCUUCGUGGACGCUCUUAUGUCGACUCCUUAAUCAGGUGCCAAGAGAGACGAUUACCUCCAUACUUUUGAACUUUUUGGUAACUUGUUGCCAAACGGGGAGAAAUGUAUAGAUCUUAGGGCUUCGAGAGAGAGAGCUUUUGACUUUAUUUUCUUUCAUUUGUUUUUUUAAACUUUGAUAUUUUGGAUGACAUUAUACUUGUUCCUGUGUUUGAUCAUAUGAUUUGCUUGGUUGAUGCUACAUUAUUAUCUUUUAGCUAUCUAUGUGAUGAUCAUUCACUUAUCUUUUUGGUGUCAUGUGCAUUACUAUUCAUUCUUAUCAUGUAUGCGCGCCACCAAGUUGUAUGUGACAUGGAAGAGUGAUCCAUGAUAAUUGAUUGUGCAUUUGCAUUCAAGCGCAAAUUAUAAGUAAUGCACAAAUUUAGGGGGAGCUCUUGCUUUUCACAUACUUUUCAAAGCGUCGAUGCUAAUCAUUGAUUAUAUCUUUUGUCGAAGCUUUGAUCUAUAUGUUGUCAUCAAUUACCAAAAAGGGGGAGAUUGAAACCAAAAUUGCUCCCUAGGGUGGUUUUCAUAAUUGGUCACAACAUAUGCAUCAUUGGACUAACAUGUUUAUCCAAGUAUAUUUCAGAAAAGUUCAAAACAUGCAGUGGCUAAAGACUUAUGUGGAGAUGCCCCUUGAUGCAAGAAAGGAAUAAAAUUGGCCCAAGCUUCAAGCUAGAAGACUCUUCAUUUUAUAUUUGUGAGAUAUCACUUUUGAGUCCAUAGGAAAGCCAAUACUAUUAAAAGGGGGUGAGGUAUUAAAAUGAACUGGUUGUUCAAGUGCUCAGAGAUAGGCACCAAAAAUACUGAGUCAUUUUCCUACAUAACCGUUCUGUCCAAAACCACAUACUCAAAAUUUGUGCCGCCAAUUUUCUCAUUUUGGCAGUACCGAUAUUCAUCUCAAACAAAACUCUAGCCGAAGCCACCAAAUCGGUGCAACCGAAACCAUGUCGGUGCUACCCAGUUUAGGUGACCAACUUUUUGUUGCCUCGGUACACAAAAUCAGAAUUUCUGAGUUUGAGUAUUGGUGUCACCGAGUUGUUUCAUCUGACCGUUAGCCACCUUUUUGGUGUCACCGUGUUGUGUAUAUUGUUCCACCGAGAUUCAAAAAUAGGUGCCUUUAGUGCAAGUCGGUACCACCAAGUUGAUGAGUUCAGUGUCACCGAGUUAUCCACUUUAGGUGUAACGGUUGAAUUUUGGGGACAACCUAUAUAUACCCCUUCCCCCACCUCUCAUUCGAGAGAGAAGCACUCAGAACACACACCUCAUUGCCAGAUCCAUUUUUCUAAGAGAGAGCCACCUACUCAUGUGUUGAGACCAAGAUAUUCCAAUCCAAUCAUUUGAAACUUGAUCUCUAGCCUCCCCAAGUUGCUUUCCACCAAAUCAAUCUCUCCUACCCAUGCCAAAUCUGAGAGAGAUUGAUUUAGUGUUGAGGAGACUAUCUUUAGAAGCAGAAGAGCAAGGAUUUCAUCGUUCUACCACAUCUAUUACCUUUUGGAAGGUGCUGCCUCCUAGAUUGGUUAGGUGUCACUUGGGUGCCUCCUACUUCAUGUUGUGGAGUUGAACCAAGAUGUUUGUAAGGGCAAGGAGAUCGCCUACUUCGUGAAGAUCUACCGUGAGUAAGGGUAGUCCUUCGUGGGAGGAAGCCAUGGUGGAAUAGACAAGGCCGCUUCUUCGUGGACCCCUUGUGGGUGGAGCCCUUCGUGGACUCUCGCAACCGUUACCCUUCGUGGGUUGAAGUCUCCACUAACAUGUAUGUACGAUAGCGCAACCGUUACCCUUUAUUUUACACUUGCAUGUUUUACAUUCCGCUGCUAUACUCUUAGAACUUCAUGUUUAGGGUUUACUUGACUUGCCAUAAUUGCUAAAGCUGGCCCACAUAUAAAAUUGGGAAAGGCCUAAGUUUUUAUCUUGUCAAGUAGGCUAAUCACCCCCUCUAGACAUACUUUCGAUUCUACAAGUGGUAUUAGAGCCAGGUUUACAUUGCAUUGUUUCAUGACCUAGGACAGUAUGGCAUCUAGUGAGGGAAGUUAUCACCAUAGAGGUCCAUACUUGGAUGGCACUAAUUUUGCUAGUUUGAAGCAUAAGAUGAAAAUGCAUAUUAUUGGUUUUAAUCCUCACGUAUGGGAUGUUAUUCGUGUUGGUGUGCAACGUGUUUUCUUUGGAGAAGGGCGUGAACCAGAUCGCGAUGCGACGGUGGAUGAAAUGAAGAUGUUGCAACUCAAUGCAGAAGCUUGCGACAUCAUCUUCAACUAUCUAUGUCCCGAAUAAUUCAACAAAAUCAGCCGCCUUGAGAAUGCAAAAGAAAUUUGGGAUACUUUGAUCGAUAUGCACGAAGGUACUGAUUCUAUGAGAGAAUCUAAGUUGGAUGUGCUCCAAAGUCAGCUUGACAAGUUCAAGAUGAAGGAUGGUGAAGGUGUAGCUGAAAUGUACUCUAGGCUGGCUCUCAUCACGAAUGAGAUUGCCGGCUUAGGAAGCGAAGAAAUGACCGACAAAUUCAUCAAUAAGAAGAUACUUAGAGCUCUUGAUGGAAAGUAUGACACCGUCUGUCCAUUGAUCAAAAUGAUGCCAAACUACAAAGAUCUCAAGCCAACUGAAGUUAUUGGUAGGUUAUUUUCUCAUGAGAUGUCCCUCAAGGACAAAGAUGAGCUGCACAACAAGUCAAGCGGUGCUUACAAAACUUCAAGCGAUGCCCCCGCUACUUCGAAGGACAAUCUUUUCAUUGAUGAAGAGAUAAGCCCCAUGGUCAGAAAAUUCAACAAGUUCUACAAGAGUACAAGCAAAGAGAGAAGCUCAAGCUCAAGACAUGAUGAGAAGCAUUCGUCCAGUCGUGACCGAAACUGCUAAAACUAUGGGAAGCCCAGACACUACUCCAAUGAGUGCUCGGCUCCCUACAAACGAAGGAAGAGUCACCUCGAAGACGAAGUUCAAGGGAUGAGUCACCUCGUAGAGAGAGAAGGUGUAGAGAAGAUUGUUAUGAACGAAGACACUCGCGGAGAGGCAAGGAAUCAGAGAAGAAGGACAAAUACACCAAGCACAGCUCUAGAAGAAGACAUCAAGCUCAUGUUGGUGAAUGGGUUUGUGGCUCCGAGUCUGACAACCAAUCCAAGAGAAGCUAUCACUCCAACUCUGACUAUAGUCAAGAUGAAGGUGUUGUCGGCAUUGCACUUGUUUCCUCCAACUCCUACGACUUAUUUGAUUCACCAAAUGAGGGGUUUUGAAACUGCUUCAUGGCUAAAGUCCCCAAGGUAUCACACCCCGAGUAUCUUGAUUUUAAUAGUGAUGAGGAUGAAUUGUUAGGAGAAGAUGACUUGCUCUUUGAUAAAACUAGUGAUUUCACUGAAAAUGAACUUGCUCAUUAUCAUCCUAGUCAAGAGAAAUCGAGUGAUGAUGAUAAUAAUGAGAUUGAACAACUAACUAAAGAAUUGAACACUCUUAAUUUAGCUCAUGAAACUACUCUAGAAGAUCAUAGAGAGCUUGUAAGAACUCAUGAGAAGCUACGCUUCGAGAAUAUCAAUUUGGAGGAAGAGGAUGAGUUCCUAAAAGCAAAUCAAUGAUGAUCUUCGAAAGACGAGUUCUUCUUAUCUAGCCAAACGAUUAAUCUUGUCUACUUUUGUUCCACAAGUUAAAACUAAGAACACAAGUAACAAAGGCACGAAAGUCUCUUCUUCUAGUAACAAAACCACUAAAGCUACAUCUAAUGAUGUUGUUGUUAGUAGCUCUCUUGAUUCCACUAAUGAUUCUCUUAGACAAGUUACACUUGAGAAGAAAAUGAUGUAUUGAAAGGGAUCAUAGAGAGAGGUGUCUUCAAGAGUCUUGUUGGAAGUAAGCAAUUGGAGGAAAUUGUGCGCAAGCAAGGAGGACAUCGGAAGAAACAAGGUGUUGGCUACUUCAACAUCAGCGGAGGUGAUUGGGAAGAAGGUCCAUAUCCCAUUCCUAAGUUUGUUCCUCAAGAGGAGAAGUAUGAUCCUACUCCUCCCAAAGGAACAAGCUUACAAGAUGGCCUUCUACCACACGACCACAAGGGCAAGGGAAAGCUUCAAGAGGACAUUGACUUAUGUGAAGAGGAACCCCAAGUCAAGGUUAAGUGCAUUCCCAAGGACACUACUAGCACUACCUCAUCUAGUGCUACCACAACUCCAAGGAUUCCCCUCAAGUUGAUGUGGAUCCCCAAGAGGAAGAACUAUAAAGUUCUUGAGGGGUGACUUCGCCAACGAAAUUCACUCUCAUUCAUUUGGCAAGAACUAUAUGCAAUCAACCUCAACCAUAUGCAUUAGUUGAAGGAGUCCCACAUUCCCUCAAAGGUAAGCAAGGGACCAGGUAAUUAAUGUAUCUUUGGACAUCAUCCCAUAUGUAUUUCACUCCAUGUCCGUAGAUAUUCUUGCAUAUGUUCCUUGUGUUUUGGGACUAACCCAUGUAGGUGAGAAGAGUAAGAAACAACAAGGAUUGCGCCCAACUCAAGAUGAUCUUCAUCAACAUUGAGCAUCCACCACUACUUCACCUACUUGAAGUCUUGUACGACAAAACCUAAGGUUAGAUUAUCCCUCUUAGGGGGGAUGUCAUAUCAAGGGGGAGCUUUACUCUAAAUCUUGAGUAUAAGCAUCUCCUCAGGAUAUGAACACAUUAAUGCCUUAUGUAAAAGUGGUAACCCCACUUUUGCUUAAACGAUGAGUAUGACCUAUGGUCAAGUAUUCGUACUUGGCUGCUAAGUAAAUAUACUCAUAUAUAGAUGACUUUUGCAUCGCCAAAGUGCUUGACAUAUGCUAGAAUGUUUGUGCAUGUUCACCAUAUUUUAUCUAUCAUCUUAUGGUGUGAGCAUGUUCGUGUGCAUAUUUUUGCUCAUUCGAGGACAUCCAAUUUUUAUUAUUUGGCUCUUGUUUAUCUUUUGCCAAUUGGAUGGACAAGAAUGCCUAGGACCCUCUUCUAUCUAUCUAUGCUAUCUCAUAUCAAGUUCUAUUCAUGCUUCAUCACAAAACUUGAACAAGCACUUUUCGAUCCCUCUGUGUGAAGGAGCACUCGGAAUUCCAUAUCGUCAAAGGCUGCCUUCAAAAACCUCUUUAUGAAUCUCGGUGUAACUAACCCCACAAUCGCGGUUCCAUCGAAUUCCAAAGUUGAUCUGGUUUUUCCAUCCCGGUACCACCGAAAUCACCAACUCGGUUACAUCGAGUUUCCCUAUCAGCUGACAGGAGAGGAACUCGGUGACACGAUUUUGUAAUCUCGGUGACACCGACAACGACGUGUAUAUAACCUUGCGGACCGGACGUUUUGAAAUUAACUCCACAAACAUUUCAUUCCCAAAGCCUAAGAUCCCGUUGAAGGACCCCUGGUCAUCGCCUUUGUCUCCCUGAGCACCUCCACCAUUGGGAUUCGCCGCCGUCGACUGAUUCUUCACCGCUGUUGCCGUCGUAGUCGGACCACCAUUGAGCUAGGGUAUGGUUAUGAUCUCCUCUUGUGCUCAAUUGAUCCAAUUCAUGCGCAUUAGUAAUAUUUAUCUCAAUCCACCUUGUGCAAACCCUCCUCUCAACCAGAAGUUCUUGUAGAUCAGCGAACGGAAGAUUUUUAGGUUAGCCGUCUGCAAAACACAUCUCAGUGACACCAAAUCAUAAAAUUCGGUCCCACCAAUUAUGAAUAUAGGGUUCGUGAGAAUGAACUCGGUGAGACCGAGAUAUCACUUUCAGUUCCACCGAAGUGAUUGCCAAGUCUUUGAGAAGAAGUUCUUCUGUCUCGGUGACUCCAAAAAUUCAGACUCGGUGCUACCAAAAUUUGUCAUGCAUAAAGCUAAAACUAGGAAUUGCUUUGUUCAAAUUUUGUGAAAACCUUCUGUGUUUUGUGGUGCUCAAUCCUUCCGGUCUUCUAUAUCUAUUUCAAACUGCUGCUUGUCUGCUGGUAUGUUGGUUCCUUGUCUGCUUUGUCUGUGAUGAUAUGAGGAUCUGAGGACAGCCAGAACAACUUCACCGAGGAUAGUGUUGACUUGGAAUCAGGCACAAGUCCUGAGAAGACAGACCCUGUCCCUGCAUCUUAUAGCUCCCAUGGCUUGCCCGAAGACAGCCACUAGGAAGAGAAAUAAGCUUAACUCGGAUGAAGAGGACUCAGAUUUUGUGCUAGCAGAAACUUUAGCUCCUCAGAAACUGAAAGACAAAGCUCCUCUCAAGAAGCUUGUCAGGAAAGAGUAUGCUAAGCCUGCUGAUCUUAGAGCUCCUGAAAGUGCAAGGCAAGGGAUGACACUUUCCCUUGACAAUCCUCCUAAGAAGGCUCGUGUCAGAGCAAGGAAGAGGGUGAUUCAUGUUGUUGGAAGACAUACUUCCAUGCAUGAGAACCCAGAAGAUGCUGCUGGAGAAGAUGAGAUUCCAGCUGAUGCCCCUCCUGCUCUUCCUGAGAAGAAGAAGCUCAUGGCCGAUGCUAUGCCCAAUAAAUCUGCUCCAAAGCCUGCUUCUAAAGCUAAGAAUGUUGUAACUUCCAAAAGGACUACAAAGGAUAUUCCUGCAGCUCCCAAGAACAAAGGUUCCAGAGGAAGAAGAAGAGAAUGCACCUAUUCUCAAAAAGCUCAGACCCAAUCUGCCACUUCACAAUGCUGCUCAUCGAGUAGCUGGAGAUAUGAAGAAGAGGAAAGAUGCAGGGUUGAGGAAAUGGAGAGCUGCAGAUCCAUAUGCCAUAAGGAGAAGAACUGUCGUUGAUCCAAGGUUUGACACCAAGGAACAAAAAGACUUUUACGAGACUGUUUUGUAUGACAAAAUUCCAGCUAUUAGUAACAUGAGAUAUGUUGACUGGGCUUACAUCAAAGCCAAUGAAAAUUUAUUUCUCCGCAUGCAAGAUAAUUUCAAGUCAGCGGACAUUGGAGAUUUUGAUGGAAAAGAGAUGACUCCAUGGAAUGAAAUUGAUAAUGCAAUUCUAUUCAACUAUUCAUUUCUAUGGUGAUGGCUCUAUUGUCUGCAUGACUGAUGGUCACAAGUAUAAAUCAACUAUUGAUGAUUGGGCCACUAUCAUUGGUGCCCCUAAGUAGAAAAAGAGUGACGUUGAUGUAUACUCUGAGCAGAAGAUGAGUCACAACUCCAUGUCCAACAUGUACAAGCCAACUCCUCACAAGUUUAUGGCAACUCACAAGUUUGGCUGAGUGUACUUCUUGCAAGCAGGGAUACUACAACCAAUACCAUUCAGAGACACACCUUGAUGCCUAAAUCACGUGAUGAAAAAAUGAUUAGAGGUCACUCCAUCAACUUGCUGCACUAUUUGGACACUCAUACUAGAUUCAGAGUAAGGGACUUGAUAGUAGAGACUAUGAGAAGGACGACUGCUGAUUAGAAAAAAUCUUGUGGAUACGCCCCAUACAUUCAGAUGCUUAUCUACGCCAAGCUAGGCAAGCAUGCAUAUCUCUUUGAUCGUCCCCAUUUACCCUUUCAUUCGGAAUUUGAAGAUAAUGAAGUGGUGAUGGAUGACAAUCCUAGCUCAGGUGCAGCCAGAAUGGCAGUAGAGGCAGCGGAAGCUAAGGCUUCUAGAAAUGUGCCACCAUCAGUUCCGCAGCUCAGAACUCAAUCUGAGAAAAUGGCUUUUCUAGUUAGCUCUAUCCAUGGUAUGGAGAAGAACAUCUAAGAGAUUCUGCAAAACCAGAAGAGUUUGGAGAGGAUCAUGGAAACAAAGUUCCAUGAUUUGGAUGUCAAAGUGACUGAGAUAUCUGCUAGUGUUGAUCAUCUCAAGCAUGAAUUUGACGGUGUUAAAACACCCAGUUCUACUAAUGAUGAUGAAAAGUCGCCUCCUCACACUACCACUCAGUUCAGCACCAAGCCCCGGUCAGCAGUUGUGCUAGUGUCGGAAGCAAGACCAACUUCAUCCGCUCAGGCAUCAACACCUUCAGCUUCAGCACCAGCUCCAGCUCAUCUAGUUUCCACUCCUCCAACUCGAGGACAUUUAGUAGAAUCCUUUGUGGACGCUCUUCUGUCAACUCCUUCAUCAGUUGUCCAUAGGAUCGAUUAGCUCUAUACUUUUUAAUUUUUUGGUAACUUGUUGGCAAAGGGGGAGAAAUGUAUAGAUCAUAGGGAUUCGAGAGAGAGAGAGCUUUUGACUUUAUUUUCUCUCAUUUGUUUUUUAAACUUUGGCCUUUUGGAUGACAUUAUACUUGUUCCUUUGUUUGAUCAUAUCCUUUGCUUGGUUGAUGCUACAUUAUUAUCUUUUAGCUAUCUAUGUGAUGAUCAUUCAUUUAUCUUUUUGGUGUCAUGUGCAUUACUAUUCAUUCUAAUCAUGUAUGCGCACCUCAAGUUGUAUGUGACAUGGAAGAGUGAUCUAUGAACCUAGUUGAUUGUGCAUUUCCAUCCAAACACAAAUUAUAAAUAAUGCACAAAUUUAGCGUGAGCUCUUGCUUUUCACAUACUUCUCAAAGCAUCGAUGAUAAUCACUGAUUAUAUCUUUUGUCGAAGCUUUGAUAUAUAUGCUGUCAUCAAUUACCAAAAAUGGGGAGACUAAAAUCACAAUUGCUCCCUAUGGUGGUUUGGAUAAUUGAUCACAACAUAUGCAUCAUUGUACAAAUAUGUUUAUCGAAGUAUAUUUCUGAAAAGUUCAAAUGAUGCAUUGGCCAAAGUCUUAUGUGAAGAUGCCCCUUGAUGCAAGAAAGGAAUAAGAUUGGCCCAAACUUCAAGCUAGAAGACUCUUCAUUUUAUAUUUGUUAGAAAUCACUUUUGUGUCCAUAGGAAAGCCAAUACUAUUAAAAGGGGCUGAUGUAUUAAAAUGAACUGGUUUCUCAAGUGCGUAGAGAUAGACACCAAAAAUACUUAGUCAUUUUCUCACGUAACCAUUCUGUGCAAAACCACAUACUCAAAAUCGGUGCCACCAACUUUCUCAUUUCGGCACUACCAAUUUUCAUCUUAGAGAGAACCCUAGCCAAAGCCACCAAAUCGGUGCAACCGAAACCAUGUCGGCGCUACAAAGUUGAGGUUACCAACUUUCUGUUGCCUCGGUACACAAAAUCGGAAUUUCCGAGUUUGAGUAUCGGUGUCACCGAGUUGUUUCAUCUGAUUGUUAGCCACCUUUUCAGUGUCACCGAGUUGUGUAUAUCGGUUCCACCAAGAUUAAAAAGUUGCUGCCUUUAGUGCAAGUCGGUACCACUGAGUUGAUGACUUCGAUGUCAUAGAGUUUGCCACUUUAGGUGUAACAGUUGGAUUUUGGGGACAACCUAUAUAUACCCUUCCCCCACCUCUCAUUCGAGAGAGAAGCACUCAGAACACACACUUCAUUGCCAGAUCCAUUUUUCUGAGAAAGAGAGCCACCUACUCAUGUGUUGAGACCAAGAUAUUCCAAUCCAAUCAUUUGAAACUUGACCUCUAACCUCCCCAAGUUGCUUUCAACCAAAUCAAUCUCUCUUACCCAUGUCAAAUCUGAGAGACAAUGAUUAAGUGUUGAGGAGACUAUCUUUGGAAGCACAAGAGCAAGGAGUUCAUCGUUCUACCACAUCUAUUACCUUUUGGAGGGUGAGGCCUCCUAGAUUGGUUAGGUGUUGUUUGGAAGCCUCCUACUUCGUGUUGUGGAGUUGAACCAAUAUGUUUGUAAGAGCAAGGAGAUCGCCUACUUCGUGAAGAUCUAUCAUGAGUAAGGUUAGUCCUUCGUGGGUGGAAGCCGUGGUGGAAUAGACAAGUCUGCUUCAUCGUGGACGCCUUGUGGGUGGAGCCCUCCAUGGACUCUUCUAGCCGUUACCCUCCGUGAGAUGUACGAUAGCGCUACCUCUCGGAACCAUGCCAAAAAUUGCCGUGUCAACCUCACGCGUUGCAUCUCCCUGCCUUACUCCUUUACUUUACACUUGCAUGUUUUACAUUCCGCUGCUACUCUUAGAACUGCAUGUGUAGGGUGUACUUGACUUGCCAUUAUUGCUAAAGCGGGCCCACACCAAAAAUUGGGAAAAAGGCUAAGUUUUUAUAUUGUCAAGUAGUCUAAUCACUCCCCUCUAGACAUACUUCCUAUCCUACACGUCUGCCUCGCAAUCCUCCGUGUUGUGGGUGUGUACGUUGUGAUGGGCAUGGAUCAUCCCGCCGACCUCUCUAGGCGCGUCGUUGCGGGGGACUGGCGAAGGCCCGAAGCCGGUCAUGGGGACCCGAAGGAGAAGGAGCACGUCAUGGGGCAUGAUCUGUUCGAGCCCUUCAGGCUAUGGACCGAGUGGGCCACCGUAUAGCGGCAAAGGCGUCUCGCUGGACGAGCCCCCACCUUUGGCGCCGAGGGAUGGAGAGGGACGUAGGGCUCCAAGGCCCUCCUGGCGACGGUGACCAGCUCGGUGAUGUGGUCCUCCCAGUCGUGGUACCCCCAUCUGUUGGGCGGUGGUGAAGCAGUUCGCUAACCAUGAGCAGCGCGUCCUGCGUGUUCAGGUCCCUCGUGUGAACGUAGGCUGAGACAGACGCUGCUGAGGACUCAGCUGGGCGACCGUCUCACUGCGUCGGUGGACACACGAAGUCGUGCUUCCCUCGGGCAGCGGGGGCGAAGACGAUGGUGGCCCGGUAACGGCCAUCUGGCGCCGAGCACUUAGGGGGCGCGCAGUGAGCGUCGGCCAUGGGGUUAGUGAAGCUUGCUGGAGGUCGGCCACGCACCCCUACUUGCGCGCCAAAUGUCGAAAUCGGGGAUCCGCACAACCGGAAAAGUUUCGAACUCUCAGGUGCGCUCGCCCUCCUACCCUUUUCUACCUCUCAAAUUCACUACGACUCUCCGGCGGCUCGAUCUACGGAAAGCGAACGGGAACACACAGACUGUUUACCCAGGUUCAGGCCACCUUGAGGUCUAAAACCAUACUCCUUCUUGUCUGGAUUGCUUGAGGUGGAAGACGAGUACAAAGAAGGGUCAUAUUGGGGAUCGGAUCAGUCGCCCCUACUAUCGAGGCCGGGCCUCUCUUUUAUACUGGCCUUGGUCCUCUUCCCCCGUAAACACUCGGCUAGAAGGGUUGCCACAAUGGCCAUUUUGAAAGGGUACGAGACUACGGCCCGCCCUGACAAAGUCGGUCUUCGCGUGCGAAAGCCUUUCUUCAUGUCGUGUUGGUGGGAUCGGGGGUUCCUGCCGAGCCCCCAACCUUGGUCUUCUUGCACCAAUCGAGAAACCUUUGGGAGUUUCUUUGGGAGCCUGCGAGCUCGCCCCACUUCCUUAGCACGGAAGUGGAAAUCCUCCCUCUCUGUGCCUGUUGGCACCGCCCAUGCGCUACCUGCGUAGUAUGCAUCACCCACGUGAAGGCGCAGGGUCACGGGACCCUGCCAGGUUGCCCUCAAAGGGCGUGCAGCACGAGAGCCUCAGGGGUAGCCUCGCACUACUAGGAAAAGGGCUAUAGAUAAUAUAGACACUAAUGGCGCACCAGACAAGUGGUGCGCCACAACUAUAUAGUAGUGACACACCAUGUGCAGGUGCGCCGUUAGUGUGAUGGACACUAAUGGCACACCACACACACACGAUGCGCCACUACUAACAAUUUUUUUCUUCCAAAAGUACUAAUGGCGCACCGGGGCAGAGUGCGUCCCGCACCACUCACCUAGUACGUCACUACUAUAAUUUUUUUUGCAAAAUAGUAAUGGCGCACCAGGUGCUUCAUUAGUAGUUUUGCAAAAAAAAUAUCUCUCUGUGACCCACGACCCCAAACCUAGCAAGCCCUCUCUCAUCCUCAUCCUCUCCUCGUGCGCCCCACCGCAUCGCAAUCGCCACCGCGCCAUGGCCUCCCCCGGCCCGAACCACCACCGCCAGGCAAGGCCGUCGUGGAGCGUCACCACCCCACCCCACCCCACCCCACCCGUCGAGGAAGCACAAGGCUUCAUCGCUGUCGGAGCUGGGCUUCGACGCCGGGGGCGCCUCGUCGCCUCGUUUGGCAAGGUAUCCACUGACCUCCGUUCAGUUGCUCUCCUCAUCCCCUUUCUCACUCAGAUCCCUCUUGCUAGCCCUACCUAUCCGAUUCACUUUGUGAGCNCUGGGCCUCAAAUCCCCGCAGAGCUCCCCUCGUUCCCGUAGUCCGCGACGCCGGCCUCCCCUUCCUCGCAGGGCUCCCCAUCGCGCCGCCAGGACUAGAUCGUGUUCGCUUUCCCCCUGUAGCUGAAAUGAUAGCUCCUACCAUAGGAGGAGAUUUAUCAAACCAGAGUAGUAAUUGUAUGCGCCCAAUCGUAGAUUGAAUGAUUUAUAUGGAGUAUGUAUAGUAGCGAGUUGACCCAGUGCUAUGCUGCGCUUGCUUUGACAUUCUGAAGUACGACCGGCUUUUGUUACUCCAGUAGUACUGCCUGCUUAGAACAUUUCAUAUAUUGGUUUUAUGCACAAGAUUUUGUGCCUUGCGUACCCUAAAACUACCAAGUAUUAGAGUACAUAUCACUAGGUGGCUACACUCUCAGCAAGGCAGAAACCAGUCGAGAUAUACCUGCCAUGGUCCUAGGAUCCGUGCAAUUUUUUAGUUAAUGUGACGCCUGCCACUUUUUCCCGCUUUACUCUACCACUGACAUCGUUUUCCAUCGGCAGUCUAGCAAGAUCGAGAAACUUAUGGCCGAAUCUGCUGUUUCUACCGUGGUUCGUCGGAUCAGUAAUAUUGCCAUCCAGGAGACUUUGUUGCUAGACUGUUUCUGUUUCUAUUUUACUAGAUAGGCGCUACCUCGUCUAUUGAAACGGUGGCAAGACCAUCUCGUUCUCAUGCUGUCUGCCAGGUAUUGCUGCUUCCUUCAAACCAAAAAUGCUUGAUUUGUCAGUAAUAAGAACCAAUAUGACAUGUUUAAAGUCAUGUGCUAACCUUUUAUCUUGAGCACUCAAAAGUUCCAUACAAUGUUUAUAUCUUCUAUUGCUCUAAGUAGUUUGUUAAAUCGUUGAAUAGCUUGUGUUACUAUUGAUCUGGGAUUUUUCAUUGGUUGUCUUAAUUGUCUACAAUAGGGUUACAAGCUAGAUUCCUAUGACUUGCUGAGCUCCAUUCUUUGGGGUUCUCUUCAUGAGGCAUUCUCUAAGCAUUCUAUCUUCACUUUAAGAAUUGCCUUUUAUGUUAUUUGAUUGCUUGACAUGCUUAAAUUCAGUAACUCGAUCCUCUCUGAAUGCUCCUAAGCCUUUCCAAGGUGUUACUGUAGACCUUCUAUCUCAACCAAGAAUUGAAGAAUACAUGACUCACAACCAAUAAUUUAUUUUUCGCCACACCUUUGCUGUCACUUCUUUUGCUUUGUGGUCCUACCAGACAUCAGGACUAUUUACAUAUGUCCUGUAGUUAUUUGAAGAGUUUCG
rnacentral:lncRNA from 1 species